rnacentral:rRNA from 1 species
AGAGUUUGAUUCUGGCUCAGAACGAACGCUGGCGGCGUGGAUAAGACAUGCAAGUCGAACGAGAGAAUUGCUAGCUUGCUAAUAAUUCUCUAGUGGCGCACGGGUGAGUAACACGUGAGUAACCUGCCCCCGAGAGCGGGAUAGCCCUGGGAAACUGGGAUUAAUACCGCAUAGUAUCGAAAGAUUAAAGCAGCAAUGCGCUUGGGGAUGGGCUCGCGGCCUAUUAGUUAGUUGGUGAGGUAACGGCUCACCAAGGCGAUGACGGGUAGCCGGUCUGAGAGGAUGUCCGGCCACACUGGAACUGAGACACGGUCCAGACACCUACGGGUGGCAGCAGUCGAGAAUCAUUCACAAUGGGGGAAACCCUGAUGGUGUGACGCCGCGUGGGGGAAUGAAGGUCUUCGGAUUGUAAACCCCUGUCAUGUGGGAGCAAAUUAAAAAGAUAGUACCACAAGAGGAAGAGACGGCUAACUCUGUGCCAGCAGCCGCGGUAAUACAGAGGUCUCAAGCGUUGUUCGGAAUCACUGGGCGUAAAGCGUGCGUAGGCUGUUUCGUAAGUCGUGUGUGAAAGGCGCGGGCUCAACCCGCGGACGGCACAUGAUACUGCGAGACUAGAGUAAUGGAGGGGGAACCGGAAUUCUCGGUGUAGCAGUGAAAUGCGUAGAUAUCGAGAGGAACACUCGUGGCGAAGGCGGGUUCCUGGACAUUAACUGACGCUGAGGCACGAAGGCCAGGGGAGCGAAAGGGAUUAGAUACCCCUGUAGUCCUGGCAGUAAACGGUGCACGCUUGGUGUGCGGGGAAUCGACCCCCUGCGUGCCGGAGCUAACGCGUUAAGCGUGCCGCCUGGGGAGUACGGUCGCAAGAUUAAAACUCAAAGGAAUUGACGGGGGCCCGCACAA